ACGGCUUCUAAAAGAAAGAAUAGUUUGUCUUAUGGCACCGGUAGAUGAUUUUGUGUCCGGUUUAAUUGUAGCCCAGCUCUUAUUUCUGCAAUCUGAGAGCCCACAGAAGCCAAUCAACAUGUAUAUUAAUACACCAGGUGCAUUUGAAACAUUUAUAUUGAAAUGAAGCUAUGAAUGUAACUUAUCUAUCAAUGCUAUGUGGGGCAAAGAAUAAUUAUUAUAACGCAUGUGACCUGUUGCACACAUCUGUGCCCACUAACAAGUUACCACAUAUGUACCUUUGUGAAUGAUUGUAUUUUAAAUAAAUAGCUGAGAAUUUAGACAACACUAAAUGAACCACUGAAGUAUGGUAUA